AGAGUUAAACAGUACGUGAAAUUGCUAAGAGGGAAACGAUUGAAGUCAGUCGUACCGACGAGAAAUCAACUUAUCGUGUGCGAACUUGUGGGCGUGCGUGAGUUUCGGCCUCGCUGUUUGCAUGUUUGUGCAUUUUGGGUGUACUUUUUCGUAUGGUAGGCCAACGUCAGUUUCGAUCAUCAUAAAAUGACUGGCGGAAUGUAGCUUCGAUUUCGGUUGAAGUGUUAUAGCCUCUGGUAGAUGUGGUGAUUGGGACUGAGGAUUGCAACGAAUAUCCUUUGGGCUAUCCGUCUGAUCUCUGAAAGUUGCUCAGGUGCCGAAAGCGUGCUUACGGUCAUCUAAGUUGACGGUCAACAGGUUAGAACGUGAUUACAUUCGUUAAGGAUGUUGGCGUAAUGGCUUUAAACGACC
rnacentral:rRNA from 1 species